AGAGUUUGAUCCUGGCUCAGAUUGAACGCUGGCGGCAUGCCUUACACAUGCAAGUCGAACGGCAGCACGGGAGCAAUCCUGGUGGCGAGUGGCGAACGGGUGAGUAAUAUAUCGGAACGUGCCCAGUCGUGGGGGAUAACGCAGCGAAAGCUGUGCUAAUACCGCAUACGAUCUCUGGAUGAAAGCGGGGGACUCGCAAGGGCCUCGCGCGAUUGGAGCGGCCGAUAUCAGAUUAGCUAGUUGGUGGGGUAAAAGCUCACCAAGGCGACGAUCUGUAGCUGGUCUGAGAGGACGACCAGCCACACUGGAACUGAGACACGGUCCAGACUCCUACGGGAGGCAGCAGUGGGGAAUUUUGGACAAUGGGCGCAAGCCUGAUCCAGCAAUGCCGCGUGCAGGAUGAAGGCCUUCGGGUUGUAAACUGCUUUUGUACGGAACGAAACGGUCUCUUCUAAUACAGGGGGCUAAUGACGGUACCGUAAGAAUAAGCACCGGCUAACUACGUGCCAGCAGCCGCGGUAAUACGUAGGGUGCGAGCGUUAAUCGGAAUUACUGGGCGUAAAGCGUGCGCAGGCGGUGAUGUAAGACAGAUGUGAAAUCCCCGGGCUCAACCUGGGACCUGCAUUUGUGACUGCAUAGCUAGAGUACGGUAGAGGGGGAUGGAAUUCCGCGUGUAGCAGUGAAAUGCGUAGAUAUGCGGAGGAACACCGAUGGCGAAGGCAAUCCCCUGGACCUGUACUGACGCUCAUGCACGAAAGCGUGGGGAGCAAACAGGAUUAGAUACCCUGGUAGUCC
rnacentral:rRNA from 1 species